rnacentral:rRNA from 1 species
CUUGGUCAUUUAGAGGAAGUAAAAGUCGUAACAAGGUUUCCGUAGGUGAACCUGCGGAAGGAUCAUUAUUGAAUGAACUUGGCUUGGUUGUGCUGGUCCUCUCGAGGACAUGUGCAUGCCUUGUCAUCUUUAUCUAUCCACCUGUGCACCUUUUGUAGACUUGAAUAUAGUGAAUGGGAGAGCGUGCUCUCUUUGAAGCUAUACCAGGCCUAUGUUUUCAUAUACCCCAAAGAAUGUAAUAGAAUGUGUUGUAUGGCCUUGUGCCUAUAAAUCAUAUACAACUUUCAGCAACGGAUCUCUUGGCUCUCGCAUCGAUGAAGAACGCAGCGAAAUGCGAUAAGUAAUGUGAAUUGCAGAAUUCAGUGAAUCAUCGAAUCUUUGAACGCACCUUGCGCUCCUUGGUAUUCCGAGGAGCAUGCCUGUUUGAGUGUCAUUAAAUUCUCAACCUUAACAGCUUUUGCUGAUAAUGGCUUGGAUGUGGGGGUUUCUUUUGCUGGCUUAGGUCGGCUCCCCUCAAAUGUAUUAGCCGGUGCCCCGCGCAGAACCGUCUAUUGGUGUGAUAAUUAUCUACGCCAUUAGUGAUCUGCAUGAAUGGGAUUGUGCUGCUUCAAACCGUCCUUAUUGGACACAUAAUGACAAUUUGACCUCAAAUCAGGUAGGACUACCCGCUGAACUUAAGCAUAUCAAUAAGCGGAGGA